UGGGUAACCUGCCUCAAAGAGGGGAAUAGCCUCCCGAAAGGGAGAUUAAUACCGCAUAAUAUGUUUAAGUCGCAUGACUUUAACAUCAAAGGAUUUUCUUUUAGAACUUCCACUUUGAGAUGGACCCGCGGCGCAUUAGCUAGUUGGUGAGGUAACGGCUCACCAAGGCAACGAUGCGUAGCCGACCUGAGAGGGUGAUCGGCCGCAUUGGAACUGAGACACGGUCCAGACUCCUAGGAGG
rnacentral:rRNA from 1 species